rnacentral:rRNA from 1 species
GAUCCUGGCUCAGGAUGAACGCUGGCGGCGUGCCUAACACAUGCAAGUCGAACGAAGCACCUUACUUGAUUCUUCGGAUGAAGGUCUGGUGACUGAGUGGCGGACGGGUGAGUAACGCGUGGGUAACCUGCCCUGUACAGGGGGAUAACAGCUGGAAACGGCUGCUAAUACCGCAUAAGCGCACGAAGAGACAUCUCCUAGUGUGAAAAACUCCGGUGGUACAGGAUGGGCCCGCGU